rnacentral:rRNA from 1 species
UACAGAGGUCUCAAGCGUUGUUCGGAUUCAUUGGGCGUAAAGGGUGCGUAGGCGGCGCGGUAAGUCGGGUGUGAAAUCUCGGGGCUUAACUCCGAAACUGCAUUCGAUACUGCCGUGCUUGAGGACUGGAGAGGAGACUGGAAUUUACGGUGUAGCGGUGAAAUGCGUAGAUAUUAGGAGGAACACCAGUGGCGAAGGCGCCUAACUGGACGAGUACUGACGCUCAUGCACGAAAGCGUGGGGAUCAAACAGG